CUCUGUGACUCCUACGGGAGGCAGCAGUGAGGGAAUAUUGGUCAAUGGAGGAAACUCUGAACCAGCCAAGUCGCGUGAAGGAAGAAUGUCCUAAGGAUUGUAAACUUCUUAGCGAGCGAGUAAGGACUUCCACGCGUUGGGAGUUUGAAAGUGGCUCGAGAAUAAGUAUCGGCUAACUCCGUGCCAGCAGCCGCGGUAAUACGGAGGAUACGAGCGUUAUCCGGAUUUAUUGGGUUUAAAGGGUGCGCAGGUGGUCUUUGCAAAGUCAGUGGUGAAAAAGCUGAGGCUCAAACCUCAGCCUUGCCGUUUGAAAAACUGCAAAGACUUGAGAGUACAUGAUGUGGGCGGAAUGCGUAGUGUAGCGGUGAAAAUGCAUAGAUAUUACGCAGAACUUCCGAUUGCGAAAGGCAGCUCACAAAGGUAUAUCUGACACUGAGGCACGAAAGCGUGGGGAGCGAACAGGAUUAGAUACCCUGGUAG
rnacentral:rRNA from 1 species